rnacentral:rRNA from 1 species
UGCUAAUACCGGAUAACAACAGAUGAUGCCUAUCAACUGUUUAAAAGAUGGUUCUGCUAUCACUCUUGGAUGGACCUGCGGUGCAUUAGCUAGUUGGUAGGGUAACGGCCUACCAAGGCGAUGAUGCAUAGCCGAGUUGAGAGACUGAUCGGCCACAUUGGGACUGAGACACGGCCCAAACUCCUACGGGAGGCAGCAGGC